UACGUAGGGGGGCAAGCGUUGUCCGGAUUUAUUGGGCGUAAAGAGCGUGUAGGCGGCCAGACAGGUCCGUUGUGAAAACUGGAGGCUUAACCUCCAGACGUCGAUGGAAACCGUCUGGCUAGAGUCCGGAAGAGGAGAGUGGAAUUCCUGGUGUAGCGGUGAAAUGCGCAGAUAUCAGGAAGAACACCCGUGGCGAAAGCGGCUCUCUGGGACGGUACUGACGCUGAGACGCGAAAGCGUGGGGAGCGAACAGG
rnacentral:rRNA from 1 species